rnacentral:rRNA from 1 species
AGUAGGGAUCUUCGGCAAUGGGGGCAACCCUGACCGAGCAACGCCGCGUGAGUGAAGAAGGUUUUCGGAUCGUAAAGCUCUGUUGUAAGUCAAGAACGAGUGUGAGAGUGGAAAGUUCACACUGUGACGGUAGCUUACCAGAAAGGGACGGCUAACUACGUGCCAGCAGCCGCGGUAAUACGUAGGUCCCGAGCGUUGUCCGGAUUUAUUGGGCGUAAAGCGAGCGCAGGCGGUUUGAUAAGUCUGAAGUUAAAGGCUGUGGCUCAACCAUAGUUCGCUUUGGAAACUGUCAAACUUGAGUGCAGAAGGGGAGAGUGGAAUUCCAUGUGUAGCGGUGAAAUGCGUAGAUAUAUGGAGGAACACCGGUGGCGAAAGCGGCUCUCUGGUCUGUAACUGACGCUGAGGCUCGAAAGCGUGGGGAGCGAACAGGAUUAGAUACCCUGGUAGUCCACGCCGUAAACGAUGAGUGCUAGGUGUUGGAUCCUUUCCGGGAUUCAGUGCCGCAGCUAACGCAUUAAGCACUCCGCCUGGGGAGUACGACCGCAAGGUUGAAACUCAAAGGAAUUGACGGGGCUCA